rnacentral:misc_RNA from 1 species
GGAAAAGAUAAAAAUGCUAUACUCAAUCACAGCUCAACACCAUCCGAAGUGCAAACACUUGACUUUACAGGUUGCUUUAUGACAAAUGAAAUAGAGUUCUGAUGCCUAAAUGCAACAUCUAAAUUCCCCCUCUGGUAAACAUCACAUAACUGUACAUAGAGGUUGAACUUGGAUUCUGAAGGGACAAAAAACGUACAAGCCAAGUAUAACCCACCACCCAGAAAAUCAGGGUGCUGAGGGUUUCUUUCAGAGUUUGAAAAAUGGACAAGAAGAGCCACUCUGCUUCAAUUCAAUGGGUUCCAUUUGCUGGGUAUCCCACCAACACCAGCAGCUAAACAGUUUUGAGCAAAUCCUUUUGGUUGUCAUUUUAGUGACUGCCUUUUUAAGAGAUCAGGGCUCUGGCGGGCUAGCUAUCCACUAUCUUCUGUAGUCUAGUAAUGAAAGCAUAGGAGGCCCUGCAUAAUCAUGGUGCCGUACAAAAGAUAAGACCAAUUCCAAUUUCCAGGUAAGGAAACCUUGUGAUAAUACAUCUUAACAUUCUUUUUGGUUUUUCCAUAAAAUAACAAUAAAGACUGCAAGUUCUAGCGCAAUGGUAUUGAAGUUGUCAAGUUUGAGUCGGAGUAUGACACAAUUGUUAAAAGAAAAAGACAAGCAGCUUCCCGCAUUCUGUAUUUCGUUCCUGCAACAUUUUUUGUUAUGAAGCAUGAAAGGUCAUCUUCAAAAUCAAAUGGUCUCACGCAUUAUCAG